rnacentral:rRNA from 1 species
CGGCGUCGAGCGGCGGACGGGUGAGUAAUGCCUAGGAAAUUGCCCUGAUGUGGGGGAUAACCAUUGGAAACGAUGGCUAAUACCGCAUGAUGCCUACGGGCCAAAGAGGGGGACCUUCGGGCCUCUCGCGUCAGGAUAUGCCUAGGUGGGAUUAGCUAGUUGGUGAGGUAAGGGCUCACCAAGGCGACGAUCCCUAGCUGGUCUGAGAGGAUGAUCAGCCACACUGGAACUGAGACACGGUCCAGACUCCUACGGGAGGCAGCAGUGGGGAAUAUUGCACAAUGGGCGCAAGCCUGAUGCAGCCAUGCCGCGUGUGUGAAGAAGGCCUUCGGGUUGUAAAGCACUUUCAGUCGUGAGGAAGGUGGUAGUGUUAAUAGCACUAUC